CAGAUAUAUCACAUUCUGUAAUAGGGAAGACCUGUCGGAGUGAAGCCUUCUCUGAGUCCUUUUAGUAAGAAGAGAUUGGAUGAGGGAGAUUUCCCUAAACUUUCCUGGUAGAUGACAUCUCAAAGAGCCUCCUGUGGAUGAGAAGGAAAGUCUCUAGUGAAUUUCUAUAUCUUAACCAGAAGGAAAAGUCCGUUUCAUCCAAUUUUAAAGUGUCUUCACAAAGUUAGAAAACAUAAACAGAUCACUCCUGUCUACCAGGAACUCAGCUGAGCAGAUGACAGACCUGAGCUGUCAGGUGUCAGAGUAACUGAUUAAAAACAAGGAACCAAAAUGAAAGUGAUAGUGAAGUCUCUCAUCACUGACUGUGAAAGGAUAAACCGGUCUAACCCAAAGGACUUGCCAGCUGCCCACUGUUCCAUUUUCCCUAAUGGAAGAUCAUGCUGGUCAAAGGUCAGGUAGAUCAGCACCCGUGUGGGACUCAUCUCACCGCCUGAACAAAAGGAUCGAGUUUUAUGGACCCUGGAGACCAAAGGAGAGGGCAAAGAGGAAGAACUAGGAGUUAAAGGUACUGAGAAUUAAGUCAGAGGAGAAUCAUGUCUUCAAGGUUUUCUUCUCCUCCCUUUCACCCUUGUUAAAGAGACCUAGUGUGGCCCAGGAGCCACAUUCCUCAUUGCCUGUCUUUGGAGACAGAAACAUCAACUAUGUGCAAUACAAUGGUGUUUAAAUGAUUGAAUAUAAGACAUUUUAUAUCUAACACUUCAAUAUGGUAUCAUUUAAACCUUCAUGAUCUGGAAUAACCCGUGUUUGAAUCAUAGCUUUGUCAGGUGAUGUUGGAAAAGUCACAUUUCAUCAUCUAUAAUAUGUGGAUAAUAAUAGAACCCAUUCCCCAAGGUUAUUGUGAUAAUACCUGCAAAGUUCUGCAAACAGGUCUUGCCAUUUUGUAAUGGCUCAAUUAAUGUUAGCUUUUUUGUUUUGUUUUGCUUUAUUCUAACCAGCUUUUAUCCUGUUAAUCCCUCAGACAUUCAGUAACAUCCUGAUAGGAAUCAAUUAUCAGCCAGAAUCUGCAAGAUUUUUAGAAAGUACUGCUGUAUAAGAUGGGGAACUGUGGCCUCAUAGAGUACACAAAGAAUUAUGAAGGGGUGAGAAAUCUGCAUGCUGUCAUCUUUGUGCUCCAGUUCAGCUCUGUUCUCAAAGCUAACAUACCUCAGACAGUUUUUGUAACUAACACAGCUUUCUUUAUCCCUAUAUUGAAGGAAAAAAGGUAGGCACCAAGAAAAAUGAAAUAAAGGCAUAGAUUUUUUAGACAGUC